GAUGAAGAACGCAGCAAAAUGCGAUAAGUAAUGUGAAUUGCAGAAUUCAGUGAAUCAUCGAAUCUUUGAACGCACAUUGCGCCCGCUGGUAUUCCAGCGGGCAUGCCUGUUCGAGCGUCAUUUCAACCCUCAAGCCCCCGGGUUUGGUGUUGGGGAUCGGCUCUGCCCUUCUGGGCGGUGCCGCCCCCGAAAUACAUUGGCGGUCUCGCUGCAGCCUCCAUUGCGUAGUAGCUAACACCUCGCAACUGGAACGCGGCGCGGCCAUGCCGUAAAACCCCAACUUCUGAAUGUUGACCUCGGAUCAGGUAGGAAUACCCGCUGAACUUAAGCAUAUCAAUAAGCGGAGGA
rnacentral:misc_RNA from 1 species